rnacentral:rRNA from 1 species
UACGGGGGGGGCAAGCGUUGUUCGGAAUUGCUGGGCGUAAAGGGCUCGUAGGCGGCCAACUAAGUCAGACGUGAAAUCCCUCAGCUUAACUGGGGAACUGCGUCUGAUACUGGAUGGCUUGGAUCCGGGAGAGGGAUGCGGAAUUCCAGGUGUAGCGGUGAAAUGCGUAGAUAUCUGGAGGAACACCGGUGGCGAAGGCGGCAUCCUGGACCGGUAUUGACGCUGAGGAGCGAAAGCCAGGGGAGCAAACGGG